AAGGGGUGAAACCCCCCCCCCCCCGGGUGGUGGAAUCUGUGAGGUAUUCAUCAGCCCCCUUAGGGUUCACGUAGCCAAGACGAAGGAAAGCAUCCAUGAUAUAGUAAAGUGGACUAUACCAUUCCUGACCGCUUCUGGAAAAUCGGUUUGUUUGUUUUUUACAAUCACUUAGAUGUUCAGUGGUGAGGAGUGGCUGACAGCUGAGUGAACCAGUGGAUGGUGAACAUCUUGCCAUUCUGGCAGACCACUACAAGGCUACUUGGGACUGAUGCUGUAGGAGCCUGAGAAAACAAAGAGAGGGAAUAUGUUGGAACAAGGUUUAUUCACAGCAUAUCUGCCAGAGCAAGCCAAUUUCUGGAUCAGCGUGGAACCACCUGUUGGAAGCUCAUCAAAAGCUCUGGAGAACGUGAGCGCUUACAUGCAGUUUGUGUCAUUUUGGUUGAUCCCUGGUUUUUGUUUUUUGUGAUGGUGCACAUUUGGGAAGAUGGAAGAUACAAAGAAGGAAG